rnacentral:rRNA from 1 species
UACGUAGGGCGCAAGCGUUAUCCGGAAUUAUUGGGCGUAAAGAGCUCGUAGGCGGUUUGUCGCGUCUGCCGUGAAAGUCCGGGGCUCAACUCCGGAUCUGCGGUGGGUACGGGCAGACUAGAGUGAUGUAGGGGAGACUGGAAUUCCUGGUGUAGCGGUGAAAUGCGCAGAUAUCAGGAGGAACACCGAUGGCGAAGGCGAGUCUCUGGACGACUCCUGACACUGAGGCACGAAAGCUAGGGGAGCAAACA